UAGCACCUCAGAACAUGACUGCCUACUGCUUCAAUGUUGUAUGUAGGAGAGAAGUAAACACUCCCGUUACUGGGGGAAACAUUGUUGUGUGGCAAUUUCUGCAAUUCGUGAGAGACAUGGAGCUUCCUCAUCAUCAAAUUUAACACAAAAUAUUUUCCUGAAG
rnacentral:lncRNA from 1 species